rnacentral:ncRNA from 1 species
UUUUUUGAAAGUUUUAUUCUUGCUUAUUUAUUCACUUUUUCUUUAUGUUAUAUGCAAGUUUUGUUUUUCUAAAUGUUCUUAUUUGCAGUAAUUUAAUUUAAUUAUCAAGUGAUUUUGGAAUUAGUAAUUGAUUAAGUAUUGGCAUAUUUCGUGCCAGCAGCCGCGGUUAUACGAUUAAUGCAAGUGAAUAUUUUUGGUUAAAAUAGUUAUUAAUAUUUUUAGGGUUUAAUUAUAAAUUUAUGAGGUGAAAUUUAAAAUUUUUUUUAUAGCUCUUAUUAUGAGUCUGUGAAACUUAAAUAAUAAACUAGGAUUAGAUACCCUAUUAUUUUAAGUGUUAAUUUUGCUUACCUGGAUAAUAUUAGUUAAGAUCUUGAAAUCCAAAGAAUUUGGCGGUAUCUUAUUCCAUCCAGAGGAGCCUGUCUCGUAAUUGAUAGUACACGAUUGACUUUACUUGGUUUAUUUGUUUGUAUAUCUCCGUUAUCAGAAGAUCUUUUUAGGGUUAUAAUUUUCUUAAUCUAUAAUUAUAAAUUAUUUCAGGUCAAGGUGCAGCUUAUACUCAAGGGAAGAUGGGCUACAAUAAAUUUUUGUUUAUUAUGGAUUUAAUAGUGAAGUCUAUUAAUGAAGGUGGAUUUGGUAGUAAUUUGAUUUAUUUAAUUUAAUUGAUAUUGGCUCUGAGGUGUGUACACAUCGCCCGUCACUCUCGUUAUAUCUAUUAACUCGGGAUUUAAAUUGAGUUAAUUAAGAUUCAAUGAGAUAAGUCGUAACAUAGUAGAUGUACUGGAAAGUGUAUCUAGUAAGAU